CAGUCGCCGCGGUAAUACGUAGGUGGCAAGCGUUGUCCGGAAUUAUUGGGCGUAAAGGGCUCGCAGGCGGUUUCUUAAGUCUGAUGUGAAAGCCCCCGGCUCAACCGGGGAGGGUCAUUGGAAACUGGGAAACUUGAGUGCAGAAGAGGAGAGUGGAAUUCCACGUGUAGCGGUGAAAUACGUAGAGAUGUGGAGGAACACCAGUGGCGAAGGCGACUCUCUGGUCUGUAACUGACGCUGAGGAGCGAAAGCGUGGGGAGCGAACAGGAUUAGAUACCCCGGUAGUCCCUGUCUCUUAUAC
rnacentral:rRNA from 1 species